rnacentral:rRNA from 1 species
GCAGUCGAGCGAACAGAUAAGGAGCUUGCUCCUUUGACGUUAGCGGCGGACGGGUGAGUAACACGUGGGUAACCUACCUAUAAGACUGGGAUAACUUCGGGAAACCGGAGCUAAUACCGGAUAACAUUUGGAACCGCAUGGUUCUAAAGUGAAAGAUGGUUUUGCUAUCACUUAUAGAUGGACCCGCGCCGUAUUAGCUAGUUGGUAAGGUAACGGCUUACCAAGGCAACGAUACGUAGCCGACCUGAGAGGGUGAUCGGCCACACUGGAACUGAGACACGGUCCAGACUCCUACGGGAGGCAGCAGUAGGGAAUCUUCCGCAAUGGGCGAAAGCCUGACGGAGCAACGCCGCGUGAGUGAUGAAGGGUUUCGGCUCGUAAAACUCUGUUAUUAGGGAAGAACAAAUGUGUAAGUAACUGUGCACAUCUUGACGGUACCUAAUCAGAAAGCCACGGCUAACUACGUGCCAGCAGCCGCGGUAAUACGUAGGUGGCAAGCGUUAUCCGGAAUUAUUGGGCGUAAAGCGCGCGUAGGCGGUUUCUUAAGUCUGAUGUGAAAGCCCACGGCUCAACCGUGGAGGGUCAUUGGAAACUGGGAAACUUGAGUGCAGAAGAGGAAAGUGGAAUUCCAUGUGUAGCGGUGAAAUGCGCAGAGAUAU